GAUGAACGCUGGCGGCGUGCCUAAUACAUGCAAGUCGAGCGAACGGACGCGAAGCUUGCUUCUCUGAUGUUAGCGGCGGACGGGUGAGUAACACGUGGAUCACCUACCUAUAAGACUGGGAUAACUUCGGGACACCGGCGCUAAUACCGGAUAAUAUUUUGAACCGCAUGGUUCAAUAGUGAAAUACGGUCUUGCUGUAUCUUAUAGAUGGAUCCGCGCUGCAUUAGCUAGUUGGUAAGUUAAAGGCUUACCAAGGCUACGAUGCAUAGCCGACGUGAGAGAGUGAUCGGCCACACUGGAACGUGGACACGGACCAUAGUCCUACGGGAGGCAGCAGUAGGGAAUCUUCGGCAGUAGGCGGAAGCAUGGCGGAGCAACGGCGCGUAAGAGAUGAAGAUCUUCGGAUCGUAAAACUCUGUUAUUAGUGAAGAACAUAUGUGUAAGUAACUGUGCACAGCGUGACGGUACUUAGUCAGAAAGCCACGGCUAACUACGUG
rnacentral:rRNA from 1 species